rnacentral:lncRNA from 1 species
GCGGGCUCUCGGGCAGGAAGGCCCAGCCUUCGCGGCCCGCCAGGCUAGUCAAGUGAAGCAAUGGGAGUGGAGAUGGAACAAAGAAAUCUGCAAUUGGUUGUGAUCAAUUAGUUGUAAACACUACUGCACUUGGACCAACCUCUUCCUUUUCCUGACUGCUUAGGAAGGAUGGAAUGUAUUUCCUUCCUUCUGGGAGUGUUUGAAUGAAGAUUAGACUCUCCUUGACCAUGAAUGAAGAGCAACCAGUUUUUUAGUAUACAGUGAUUUAGACUCUGGGUCUAGAGUGUAGAUAUCAUGGGCACUGUGAAAGCACAGAAGGAGAAAAGGUUUUUAUUUUGGUGGGGCUUUGUGUCUGAAUUCUGGCCAAUGGAACCACGUGGAGGCCUGGCCCAGAACAUCUCCCUGUGGAUUCUCUCAUCUGGCAACUGGAUGCCUACACGAAGGGUGAUUUUGGAGUCAUGUGUUGGAGAUCACAAAGCUUUUGUCAGCCAGGUUCCUGAAUGACUGCUAGACACCAUGGGCUGAACUUUAUGAGCUCCAGCACCACCUCCAGCCUUCAGUGACUGUCUGGAGCAGGCAUCCGGAUGGAAGAGAAGGGGGACAACCAUGAACUUGGUGACCCACGGUCAGCCUGAUUUCCCUUGUGGACACAUUUAUGCCCAGUGUGCAUUCCUCCUGAGGUCUGUUCCAAGUCUGGAGGCAGCAGAGUAGAGUGGAGAGAACAGUGGACUUGGAAUCUCACCUCCCAGAUUAGAGUCCUGGAUCUGACUUUGAUUGCUGGUGCUGCCUCGGGCAAGUUACUUUAGCUGUGUGCAUCUCCAUUUCCCCAUGGAUAGAACAUGGGUUUUGGGUAGAAGUGUCUGAUAGCUGUACUGUGCUUUACGGUUCAUGAGCACGCACACAUAGGCCCAUAAUAUCAUAUCUCUGGUCACCCUGGCAGGUAGAUAUUAUUGCCCCAGGUUUCAGGUAAGAAGACUAAAGACCAGGGGUCAAUUGCUUGCUCAGAGUCCCACAGCCAGCAGCAGCCAGGCAGGACACCAAGUCAGAGUCUAGAUUCCGGAUCUUGCCCUCUUCCAAGUGUACCACAUUCUUCUCAAAGUGGCCUCUCAGGUCUUUUGUCCAGAAAAUUUUGAGACUUUGAUGAGAAGCCCAUAUCUGCACACUGGGGAUUAGGCCAGAUAACCCUGUGUGUCCUUCCAGGCCUGGUAUUGUGAGGCUGAAGCCUAGUGCCCCACACUCCCUUCCUCACCCCUUAGAGAAAGAUAGAGACUCCAGGGCCAGCCUGGUGGGUGCUGAACCUGCCCUGCUGAGCCAAGCCCAGGAGGCAGCCAAGGUCCUACCAGUGACCUUACCCUGGGGGCCCCUCCAGGUAGGAGCCUGGUUGGAAAAGACAGACCGACUUCUUCUGGGUUGGCUGGAAAAAGAUGACAUACUCAAAGCCUUGUCCUUCCACUUGGAUGCACCUGGUGAAGAUGCGACAGUCACCUUUGUCUGGGGAGAGAUAGGCAGUGUUGCAGCCGGAGAAGGGAGGGUAUGGUCAGGAUGCAGCACCAUUUGGUUGAGUCUUGCCUCUGGUACAAGAUUAAGGAGAGAAAACCAGAGGACACCAGGUCCACCCCCAGGGAGCCUUCCCUCUGGGAGCAGAGGCACAGUUGCUGUCCUCACAGAGCCUUUCUGUCUAGGGCAGAAACAUGCAGGAAGUGCCCUGGCUGAGAAUGGAGAUAGGAUCAGGGCCAGGGCAAGACUUUAAGAGACCAUAAGCAUUGAAAAUUGAAAAUGUAAUUACUCAUGUAACUCACAUAUAAUUCAAAAGAAUAAUAGUAAACAGUAAAAUAAGAGCAGAAAAGUCCAUCAAAGUUCUGAUUUUUUUUUUCCAAGACAGCUACCACUACUACAUCCUUUUUUGGAAGUAUCAAAUUCUUUGAAAAAAAAUUAUGUUGGUAUUCCUGCUUUGUUUGUGCCAUAAACCCAAGGGUAGUCUGUCCCCUGUACCACUCCUUCAUCACUAGGCAGGAAGACAACAUAUAUGAGUGAGAGAGACAGGGAGAUACACAUGCGUGCACACACGAGUGCACACACACACACAAGAAGGUGGAAGCUCUAUCAUUAGGAUCCAUUAGGAUCAUUAGGUGUUUCAGGAGUGCUGCUCCAGACCCCGCACAGCAGGGAUGAUGUGCAGGGCCUCAGUGGAAGGGGUGUGGGGUCCAAGGGCUUUCAUGGGGUUGGGGCGGAAGGCUUGGGAUGAGGCUUGAUAGUUAGGGAGGGGCAGUCAGUGAGAAGUCGGGGCAGGAGCUGGGCUGGCUGUCCUCCAGUGGGGACAUGCUUGGCUGGGAGCGAAGGUGGGCCCACCAGGGUGUGCUGCUUCAGAUGGGAGGAGGGGAGCUGGAGACCUGAGAGGACACCCGCCGCCUGUUGCCUGGGGCUGCAGCAUCAGGGGUGGAGUUGGACAGCAGGAAGAACUCGCUGAGAACUGGAAGGCGGUCUGUGAAGUUGCUUCUCAGUCUUAGAACACAGGGAAGGGCGGCUGGGGUGUGUGUACUCAUGGUCCUGUCCUUACCUGAGGAAACUGCCAGUCCAGAUGGGAGCUUGAGUCCCCGGAUGUGGUCUCUGUUGGACUUGAAGGAGGGCAGCUUGAUCCAGCCGCUAGACUUAGUCUUCUCCAGAAAUUCUUGGUACAGGCUCAGCAUGUCCGAACACCAGCUGGCAUUGGGAAGAGCAUAAUCCUUCAAGUCUGUCUUCUCUGGCAAGAAUCUUGAGAACUGGGCAGGAAAAAUCAGAAUGACUAGACAGCAUCCUGGAGGGGGGCUGCUGCCUGGGCUCGGGACCUCUAAACAGCUGUUCCUGGGUGCUGGGGCUUCUCAAUCCCUUCUGCCAGAGUAUCGAUCCAAGGGAAAGGGCCCAUAUUCCUUGCAGGGGGGCUGCGGACCCCUAUGGGUGACGGGGCAUAAGGAUGCUAAAGAGCAAGGGAAGGGCGGGCAGGGAGUGGGGCCAGAGAUGAUGGGCAUGCUGCUCGAUGUGGUGCCUUACCCUUGUUCUGCUUAAAACAUGUGAGCAGUUCUUUAAAGUUGACAACUGCUCAUAUUAGCCUCACUGUACAGAUGGGGAAACUGAGGGAAUACGGCCAAGGUUGCCAAGCAUGUGACUGUGAGAGCUGGUGGUCGCACUAGAUGCUGUCUCCUCUGCAGGGCAGGGUCACAGUUGUUGAGGACCAUUCUAGCAACCCCCACCUCAGGGGCUACUCCAGCUCUGCCCACUGCUGUGGGCCUGCCUGGGCAGGGUGGCUCCUUUGAAACACAUUUGGGCCCCCACAGAGGUGUGGUGCCAUGGCUGGGGCACAGACUAUGUGCCCAUCUGUGUGACGUAAGGAAGUCCUCUGUAGCGUCACCUGCUCAUACACCAGUCACAACUGUAGACAGCAUGUGAGCUGCUUGCCAAUGCCACAGAUGGGGUCCUCUGUCUGGGGAUACCCCAGCUUUGCUGCAGUAGUCUGAGUCCCACAGGAGGAAAGUCAUUUGUUGGUGGCCACACAAGACACAGAGCCAGAUGCAGGUCUCCUGGUAGUUUUAGUUUUGAAUGGGGGCAACUUGGUAUCCCAGAGCACUUUCUCUUUGCCAAAUCAAAUAGCUCCUCCGAACACUGCCCACCUGCCCUGGCCAUGGGCUGGGAAGAGGAGAUUUGGGGUGCUCCUUAAGCCCUAGGCUCCUGGGAAAACACUGCCCAUCUGGCUGAGCUGGGAACUCACCAUGGAGUCUGUGGAGGAUCCAAAUGCUGAGGCAGGGUUGAGUCUGGGCAGGAUACGGGGGGCCUCAAGAAGGCCUCUGUGGUGGCCAAGUCUUGCUGCCACCUGGAAGCAUCUCCUUAUCAUGGCCAAGUGCAAGGAUCCAGCCCUGCUUGGAUGGAGGGUCUUGGCUGACUCCCAAGGAGUGCUUUCAGCUGCACUUGGGGCCGCUUCUCUCCCUUCUGUUGCAGGCUUUCUUUCAGAGAGCUAGGCGAGGCUGGGCUGGUGUGCUGCAACACCCACAGAUGCUCGGCGCCUUUAGCUGGUCUAGGAGCCCCACCCAGUGCUUGGGGAGGGACAGAUGCUGCUUGGGCAUGAAAAGGCAGCAGGACUGGCUUGAGUUGCAAAAGGAGUAAACAAGUACAUAAACAAAUAGUAUGGGGUAUAUAGAGCCUUGGAGAGCUGCCUGGGGGUUCUGAGGGAGAAUCCAAGAAUAUUUCCAGAAGGAUAAGGGAAGCCUGUCCCUUGAUUGGAGGGUGCUGGUGGAGUGUUCUUGGUAUGUGCUCUGCAGUGUAUACCGGACUCUGAAAACUCUGGUAUGAUUUUGUGACUCAGAAAACCAACUCACAGGCCGGGUGCGGUGGCUCACGCCUGUAAUCCCAGCACUUUGGGAGGCCGAGGCGGCGGAUUACGAGGUUAGGAGAUCGAGACCAUCCUGGCUAACACGGUGAAACCCCGUCUCUACUAAAAAAAAUACAAAAAAUUAGCCGGGCGUGGUGGCGGGUGCCGGUAGUCCCAGCUACGCAGGGGGCUGAGGCAGGAGAAUGGCGUGAACCUGGGAGGUGGAGCUUGCAGUGAGCUGAGAUCUAGCCACCGCACUCCAGCCUGGGCGACUGAGCGAGACUCCGUCUCAAAAAAAUAAAAAUAAAAAAAUAAAAAAAAAGAAAACCAACUCACAGCCUUAGACACCUCUUUUUUUUUUUUUUUUUUUUUUUUGGUGAGACGGAGUUUCAAUCUUGUCGCCCAGGCUGGUGUGCAAUGGCGUGAUCUCGGCUCACUGCAACCUCCGCCUCCUGGGUUCAAGUGAUUCUCCUGCCUCAGCCUCCUGAGUAGCUGGGAUUACAGACACACACCACCACACCCAGCUAAAUUUUGUAUAUUUUUUUUAGUAGAGAUGGGGUUUUGCCAUGUUAGCCAGGCUGGUCUUGAACUCCUGACCUCAGGUGACCUCCCAAAGUGCUGGGAUUACAGGCGUGAGCCACCGCACCCGGCCAACACCUCUUCUUAUAUCCCGGACAAGGGUUAGCACAGGAGAGUUUCACCUGCUGGUCUCUGGCUGGGGAUAGGAGUUGGAGGUGGGGGAGGGCUUGACAGGGAGGGCAGAAAAUAAUUUGGGAGGAAACAGCUUGGCAGGGAUACUCUCAUUUUUAAAUUGACUAAAAUAAAAGCAUGUUCUAAAGAUCAGUCCUCGCGCAGUGGCUCAAGGCUGUAAUCUCAGCAUUUUGGGAGGCCGAGUGAGACCUUGUCUUAAAAAAAAAAAAAUCAGAACUGUGCAAAGGUGGAAUCAUAACAGUGAUGAUGACGAUAAUAAUAGUUGUGAUGAUUAUGACAUUUUGGCAGGUUCCAAAAGAUGAAACUGAUUUAAUGCGGAAAUUUAAAAGAUUUGGUUCACCCUCUGUAUUUGGUUGCCCUAGAAGAAGACUAGAAUAUAAAUAUUUCCCCUCACCUCCUGCAAAGGUUUGAAUUAAACUUCCUCAAGGACUGGGGGAACCAUUUUUUUUUGUUGUUGUUAUUUUGUCAGAGUCUCACUCUUAUUGCCCAGGAGUGCAGUGGCACCAUCUCGGCUCACUGCAACCUCUGCCUCCCAGGCUCAAGCAAUUCUCCUGCCUCAGCCUCCCAAGUAGCUGGGAUUACAGGCGCUUGCUACUACGCCCGGCUAGUUUUUAUAUUUUUAGUAGAGACGGGGUUUCAUCAUGUUGGCCAGGCUGGUCUCAAACUCCUGGCCUUGGCUGAUCUGCCUGCCUCAGCGUCCCAAAGUGCUGGGAUUACAGGCAUGAGGCACCACGCCCAGCUGGAAGUUUUUUUGGUUGAUUCAGCCUCUGGGUCUAAGCAAAGAUAUUUGAGUUGGUUGCCAUCCCCAGAUAAGUGAGAAUAUCUGGCAGCACUCAUUUUCAGCCCUGGGCCGCAGCCGUUGCUGUGAGGCAGAAAUUAAAAAAAGAUAGUAAGUACUACAUUCAUUCACUCCAAGAAAAGUAACAGACAAGGCUAUAAGAAGGUCAUAGUGACCUAGUCUGAGAAGUAAAAGCCAAGGCCCAGAAUGUGGCAAGGCAAAGGUUAAAAAGAAAGGAAGAGCAAGUUUUUCUCUGCCUAGCAAGCUCACUUCAAAGACAAUUAUAAGAUAAUGCUCUUCGAGAAGUCGAAACCAAAGGAAUAGGCUCCAGACAUCCCCCGUCUGGAGCAAGGGUGAAGGAAAAAAAAAAAAGGACAAAUGUCUGUCUGUAUUUAGCCAGUUCUUGUUUUUUCUUUCCACGCAGCUACAAGGCCACCAGCUAUGCAAAGCCACAAGUUAUGCCAAGUCAUCAGUUAUGCUAUAGAUUAUGUGACCUGUCAUUAUAUGAUUAACUGCCUGUUUUGCUUCUGUAAGCCUGCUUAUAAAAAUCCUGCUCAGUCUUUGUUCAAUGCUCAGCUUUUUGGAUGUGAAUCCACUGAGCCAAUGCCUACCUUAAAAUAAACAUCGUCCUGUUUUUCCAUA